UCACUGGGCGUAAAGGGUGAGUAGGUGGCCAAGUGUGUCAGGUGUGAGAUCCCGGGGCUUAACCCCGGAACUGCGCCUGAAACUACUUGGCUAGAGUCUCGGAGAGGAUAGUGGAAUUCCAAGUGUAGCGGUGAAAUGCGUAGAUAUUUGGAGGAACACCAGUGGCGAAGGCGACUAUCUGGACGAGUACUGACGCUCAAUCACGAAAGCGUGGGUAGCGAAAGGGAUUAGAUACCCCUGUAGUCCACGCCGUAAACGUUGCACACUAAGUUUCGGAGGAUUCGACCCCUUCGGAGCUCAAGCUAACGCGUUAAGUGUGCCGCCUGAGGACUACGGCCGCAAGGCUAAAACUCAAAGGAAUUGGCGGGGGCCCGCACAAGCGGUGGAGCAUGUGGCUUAAUUCGAGGCAACGCGAAGAACCUUACCUGGUCUUGACAUGCCCGUCAUAGUUUUCCGAAAGGAAUUCGUCAGUUCGGCUGGACGGUGCACAGGUGCUGCAUGGCUGUCGUCAGCUCGUGUCGUGAGAUGUUCGGUUAAGUCCGGCAACGAGCGCAACCCUCGUUCCUAGUUGCCAGCGGGUAAUGCCGGGGACUCUAGGAAGACAAACCUCGUGUAGAGGUGGGAAGGUGGGGACGACGUCAAGUCAGUAUGGCCCUUACGACCAGGGCUGCACACGUGCUACAAUGCCCGGUACAAUGGGAUGCAAUACCGCGAGGUUGAGCCAAUCCACAAAACCGGGCCCAGUUCGGAUUGGAGUCUGCAACUCGACUCCAUGAAGUUGGAAUCGCUAGUAAUGGCGUAUCAGCAACGACGCCGUGAAUACGUUCCCGGGCCUUGUACACACCGCCCGUCACAUCAUGAAAGCCGGUUCUGCCCGAAGUAUGUGAGCCAACCGCAAGGAGGCAGCGUCCUAAGGUGGGGCUGGUGAUUGGGAUGAAGUCGUA
rnacentral:rRNA from 1 species